GAUGUUAAAAUGGCGAAAUCCAACCAAGCUCGGGUAAACGGCGGGAGUAACUAUGACUCUCUUAAGGUAGCCAAAUGCCUCGUCAUCAUACAAAAGAUCCUGGGAUUCUUAUCCCGGGGUCUGGUCGCCACGGUCGCCAUACGGAAGCAGCGUGUUCACAAAGCCAAAACUGUGAGGGAGGUACCGGGAAUUUCCCGUAUCCUUUUGAUCGGUGGAGGUGAUCCAGCCUAGUACUUACGGGUGUUCUUGCUUGCAUCGAUGGGGUAGCUCCCCGUCACCGCGGGUCCAUACACUUACGGGGAACAGCCGCACCAAAUUGCCCGGAGGACUCCUUGGAGUACCGAUGGGCAGCCAACCAAUAUCCCGGGAAUUUCCCGGAUUGCGGAGGUCCAGAGACUAUAAGGUGUAACGGGGAAACCCGGAGGAGGGAUAGUCCGUCGCCAGGUUCCCGAAGAGUUGUAAGCGAGUGGCUUGUAAGGCAUGACCGUAUCCCGGAAAAUCCCCGUACCAGGAGAAAGUUUUGUCUAAGCAUUGGCCAGAGGCUUCGGAUGCUCGGUAGGGUUCCGCCACCAGACGUUAAUUUGUGACGCGCAUGAAUGGAUUAAUGAGAUUCCCACUGUCCCUACCUACUAUCUAGCGAAACCACAGCCAAGGGAACGGGCUUGGCACAAUUAGCGGGGAAAGAAGACCCUGUUGAGCUUGACUCUAGGCACAGAAGCGAGGUGAUUCUAAAGGUGUAGCAUAGGUGGGAGGGCCUGGCCCGACCUUGAAAUACCACCACUUUCGACAUCGCUUUGCUAAUGCUGUAACGAACGAACGGCCCCCGGGCCCGCCAUCCGCAAGGGUGGCACCCGGUAAGGUCAUAUUCUAGCGCUUUCCUAGUUGGAUACGGUGGCUUGGCCCCUCUGGGUGAGUACUCUGGGACCGCAACCUGGGCUUCCGGGUCUGGUGCGCGUUGCUUCCGGGGGAACCAGGGAUGGUUGGGCUGUCCUCUGUCUGGCAAGUCGGGUACGUAAGCCGUGUAGCAGACCAUCUGUGUUGGGGAGUUUGGCUGGGGCGGAAAACUGCUACACGGCAACGGCAGUCUCCUAAGGUCCACUCAGAGACGACAGAAACGUCUCGUAGAGCAUGAAGGCAAAAGUGGGCUUAACUCGCAUUUUCAGUAGUAAUGUGAAGCAAGAAAUUGAGGCUUAACGAUCCUUAGCAGCGGGUGCCAGCCCAUGCUUGAGGUGAGAGAAAAGUUACCACAGGGAAUGAUCAUACGGUAGCUUUGGGGAAGAGCGGGUGGUGGUCGUUAGUACGGGUUGCUGCAGCAUCCCGGAAGGCUUCCGGCACUCCGAUGGGCGUAAGUAGGGGGCGCUGCAGUAAGUUCCCGAACAUCUCCGUCACUUCCUUAACGGUUCGCUCGCUAGUAGGAUUUUCCCCCGGGAUAUCCGAAGAUGUCUGAAUCAGGGUUCCAAUGCGGUGCAAUCGGCUCGGGAAACUUGUUGGAUUCGACGGCAUACGGAAGGUUUCGGUACCAUCCCAAGCUCGAAGGUCUGACUCGUCAAAUCCUUGCCGGGUUACGAGCAUAGUCAGCUGGGGGCGGGCGCAGGUUGCCCACCGGCAAGGCAACACACCUGGAUGCUGCAAAGACCCAUUCCAAACAGUUUCAGUACCAAGCGUUCUCCGGUGAUACCGGGGCGUGGAGUGGCUGUCCCCCUCUUUCGAGGCCGAUGGUUACGGGUAAUAAUCUGAUCCUGGGGUUCACUAGCAGGCGACAAGGUCAACCCAAGGGGCUAACAGUGGGUCGAGCGGGGUCUAACUCCGCCUUCCCGAACAUUUGCCCUAUGGUAACGGUGACUGAGCGUCUCAACGACUGGUAAGGUGUGGGUAUUGUUGGGUCUCGAGCUGUCCGGAUUGACCCCCGGGCGGCGAUGGGAUCUGGUGGUGCUUAAGGAACAGUCUACUCCCGCCCGCAAGGGUGUCCGGACCACCAACCCCCACUUUUCCAGAUCCCUUCACUGGGUGACGGAGAUUUCGGGGAACCCACGACUGCAGGGUUAGGUUUUGGGGCGGAGAACUUCGGGAAGAACCAAUGUCCGCUUGAGUACGGUCCGGUACGGGGAAUUUUCACUCCUACCACUAAGGAUCCGAAAGGAUACGGGGAAUCUCGGGGUCAACUCACGUGGUACUGGGAACUGGCUUGUGGCCGCCAAGCGUUCAUAGCGACGUGGCUUUUUGAUCCUUCGAUGUCGGCUCUUCC
rnacentral:rRNA from 1 species